GGCUGCGGCACCAGACUCGGCCGCUCUCUGGGCAGGCUUUCCACCACAUGACAGAUAGGCAUACGCGACCCACUCUGGGAGGGCCCCUGCGGCUCGGCUCCUUGUGCCCGAUGCUCCGGCAAGGAGGCGCCCUCCCUCCACCCAUGGGUCCAGGUCAGCGUUGCCCUCCCGGGAGCCCCCUCUCUCGGGGCCAACGGGAGCGUGCGCACAGACUCCUCACAGCGUGGCCUAGGCGUCGAUAUAU